GGAAUAUUGGACAAUGGCCGAGAGGCUGAUCCAGCCAUGCCGCGUGCGGGAGGACGGCCCUAUGGGUUGUAAACCGCUUUUGUUGGGGAGCAAUAAGUCUUACGUGUAAGAUGAUGAGAGUACCCAGCGAAUAAGCAUCGGCUAACUCCGUGCCAGCAGCCGCGGUAAUACGGAGGAUGCGAGCGUUAUCCGGAUUUAUUGGGUUUAAAGGGUGCGUAGGCUGUUCGUCAAGUCAGUGGUGAAAUGCCGGGGCUCAACCCCGGAGCUGCCAUUGAUACUGUCGGGCUUGAAUCCUGCUGCCGUGGGAGGAAUGAGUAGUGUAGCGGUGAAAUGCAUAGAUAUUACUCAGAACACCGAUUGCGAAGGCAUCUCACGAAACAGGCAUUGACGCUGAGGCACGAAAGCGUGGGGAUCAAACA
rnacentral:rRNA from 1 species